UAUGGUUUCCACAUACUCUUCCUUUUCAUUUUCCAGCUGAGCUGUCACUUUCUUUUGGCUUUCAACUUGUCUUCACACUCCUGCACUUUUGUGGCACAACUCUUUGUAGGUAGAGGCCAGGUCUUCAAAGGUUCUCUCAUCAUCAAUUGACUCUUCCUCAGACCCCUAUCUUCUUGUCAAAGCAGUCACAUGGUUUGUAGCUUCUUUUGUUUCACUUUCAUCAGACCAAGAGGCAGCAAGACUCCUCUUUUGUUUCUUGAGGUAAG
rnacentral:lncRNA from 1 species